GAGAGUUUGAUCCUGGCUCAGGAUNAACGCUGGCGGCGUGCCUAAUACAUGCAAGUNGAGCGAACUNAUAGAAGCUUGCUUCUAUGACGUNAGCGGCGGACGGGUGAGUNACACGUGGGCAACCUGCCUGUAAGACUGGGAUAACUUCGGGAAACCGAAGCUAAUACCGGAUAGGAUCUUCUCCUUCAUGGGAGAUGAUUGAAAGAUGGUUUCGGCUAUCACUUACAGAUGGGCCCGCGGUGCAUUAGCUNGUUGGUGAGGUAACGGCUCACCAAGGCACGAUGCAUAGCCGACCUGAGAGGGUNAUNGCGAAAGUCUGACGGAGCAACGCCGCGUGAGUGAUGAAGGCUNUCGGGUCGUAAAACUCUGUUGUUAGGGAAGAACAAGUACNAGAGUAACUNCUNGUNCCUUGACGGUACCUAACCAGAAAGCCACGGCUAACUACGUGCCAGCAGCCGCGGUNAUACGUAGGUGGCAAGCGUNAUCCGGAAUUAUUGGGCGUNAAGCGCGCGCAGGCGGUUUCUUAAGUCUNAUGUGAAAGCCCACGGCUNAACCGUNGAGGGUCAUUGGAAACUGGGGAACUNGAGUGCAGAAGAGAAAAGCGGAAUUCCACGUGUAGCGGUNAAAUGCGUAGAGAUGUGGAGGAACACCAGGGCGAAGGCGNCUNUNUNGUCUGUAACUGACGCUNAGGCGCGNAAGCGUGGGGAGCAAACAGGAUUAGAUACCCUGGUNGUCCACGCCGUAAACGAUGAGUGCUAAGUGUUAGAGGGUUUCCGCCCUNUAGUGCUNCACUAACGCAUNAAGCACUNCGCCUNGGGAGUACGGUCGCAAGACUNAAACUCAAAGGAAUUGACGGGGGCCGCACAAGCGGUGGAGCAUGUNGUUUAAUUCGAAGNAACGCGAAGAACCUUACCAGGUCUNGACAUCCUCUGACAACUCUAGAGAUAGAGNGUUCCUUCGGGGNACAGAGUGACAGGUGGNGCAUNGUNGUCGUCAGCUNGUGUCGUGAGAUGUUGGGUNAAGUCCCGCAACGAGCGCAACCCUUGAUCUUAGUUGCCAGCAUUCAGGGCACUCUAAGGUNACUGCCGGUGACAAACCGGAGGAAGGUGGGGAUGACGUCAAAUCAUCCCUUAUGACCUNGGCUACACACGUGCUACAAUGGAUGGUACAAAGGGCUGCAAGACCGCGAGGUNAAGCCAAUCCCAUNAAACCAUNCUCAGUUCGGAUNGUAGGCUGCAACUCGCCUNCAUGAAGCUNGAAUCGCUAGUAAUCGCGGAUCAGCAUGCCGCGGUNAAUACGUUCCCGGGCCUNGUACACACCGCNCGUCACACCACGAGAGUUUGUAACACCC
rnacentral:rRNA from 1 species